rnacentral:rRNA from 1 species
GACACGGCCCAAACUCCUACGGGAGGCAGCAGUGGGGAAUAUUGCACAAUGGGGGAAACCCUGAUGCAGCGACGCCGCGUGAGCGAAGAAGUAUUUCGGUAUGUAAAGCUCUAUCAGCAGGGAAGAUAAUGACAGUACCUGACUAAGAAGCCCCGGCUAACUACGUGCCAGCAGCCGCGGUAAUACGUAGGGGGCAAGCGUUAUCCGGAUUUACUGGGUGUAAAGGGAGCGUAGACGGCAAGGCAAGUCUGAUGUGAAAACCCAGGGCUUAACCCUGGGACUGCAUUGGAAACUGUCUGGCUCGAGUGCCGGAGAGGUAAGCGGAAUUCCUAGUGUAGCGGUGAAAUGCGUAGAUAUUAGGAAGAACACCAGUGGCGAAGGCGGCUUACUGGACGGUAACUGACGUUGAGGCUCGAAAGCGUGGGGAGCAAACAGGAUUAGAUACCCUGGUAGUCCACGCCGUAAACGAUGAAACGGAGGUGUUGGGGAGCAAAGCUCUUCGGUG